rnacentral:rRNA from 1 species
GAUGAACGCUGGCGGCGUGCCUAAUACAUGCAAGUCGAGCGAACGGACGAGAAGCUUGCUUCUCUGAUGUUAGCGGCGGACGGGUGAGUAACACGUGGAUAACCUACCUAUAAGACUGGGAUAAAUUCGGGAAACCGGAGCUAAUACCGGAUGAUAUUUUGAACCGCAUGGUUCAAAAGUGAAAGACGGUCUUGCUGUCACUUAUAGAUGGAUCCGCGCUGCAUUAGCUAGUUGGUAAGGUAACGGCUUACCAAGGCAACGAUGCAUAGCCGACCUGAGAGGGUGAUCGGCCACACUGGAACUGAGACACGGUCCAGACUCCUACGGGAGGCAGCAGUAGGGAAUCUUCCGCAAUGGGCGAAAGCCUGACGGAGCAACGCCGCGUGAGUGAUGAAGGUCUUCGGAUCGUAAACCUCUGUUAUUAGGGAAGAACAUAUGUGUAAGUAACUGUGCACAUCUUGACGGUACCUAAUCAGAAAGCCACGGCUAACUACGUG